AAACGGGCAGACACGCAAGCUCUAGAGAAUUCCCGAUUCUUGCGUACCCUGCUCUCCCACUGCCUUCUCUGUGCACACUGGAAGCUUGUGUCCCCUUUUGGGGCGCCGGGUAGGACCCCUCGGCGGGUCGUCGUGGUCUCGGCAGAGACGGGAGGGGAGGGGAACCUGUCAGCGGCGGGCAGGGUGGCCCUGGCCUGAUCCUGCCGAGGCUGAGAGUGGAGAAGAGCGGGGGACUCCAGCGGGACCCUCCGACGGAGUCUGUAUCUGGUUCUGCUUCCCUUCUCUCAAAAGUUAUACCAGGAUAUUUGUAGGUGGGAGCGCUGACCAGUUGGACAUAGGAAAGAUUUCUUAAAUGUUUGAUGAUACGAUACAGCACGAAGAAAAUACAAAACGGAGAAUUAGGGCUGUUUUAACGAAAGGGUGUUGGUACACAGACUCCUUCAGAGAGUGCACCGGGCUGCAAGUGCAUGCGACUAGGUGCUUCUCUCUGGAGUCUUCCUCAGCGACACCGGUUCUACCGUUAAAACAAGUUCUGUAAGAUAUUAAUGCCGCCGCUCUGGUCAGCUUACAAAAAGCGGGCACCGAGACCAGGGCCACGGUAAACCGGGUGCCCACCCCCGGCCGGUCCCGCUGGGCACGGCGCUGUCAGUGCCCGAGCCGCGCAUCCCAGCGCGCCCCGGCGGGUCCCUCCGCGCUGCCGGCGGGACGGGCGCGUCGCAAGGCUGGGGGGACCACGGGCACGCACCGUCCCCUCAGCGGAGCGCCACCCCAUGUCCCCCCAGCAGCUGGUGGCAGGAGAGCUCGGGGAGGCGGGACGGCUCGGAGAGUGAAGCCUCGGGGUAAGGUUCACUUCCCCGGAAGCUCUCCUCUCUUGUCUCAACCAUCUCUUUGCACUACUUAGGUGUUAGUAAACCUGCAAGUAUCCAGAGGUUUUUCAUCUGUAGAUCGCCGUGUGGAAGAAAAAACUGAGCCAGCGCCCUCAGGCUUGCUCUCUGUUCUACCUGGUGCCUUUUGAAAACCAUACAUUUGGUCAUACAUUUGUACCUGCUUGAUACUUGAGACACUUUGCCACAAAAUGGAACAGACUUUUGGGGAUCUUGAGGAAGAAUCAGGGCUCUGGCUAUAGCUAAGCAUAAUCAUGCAACUUCAGGAACCUCUGAAAUCCAGCAGCCUGUGAAAUCUAUGAUACCCAGUAUCAAAACAGUGCAGUGGGUGGAAGUGAAAUUUGGUGUCAUGGCAUCUGGGCAGUCCUGGUGAAGAUUUCACUCUGGGCUUGAUCCUGCUAACCUAUGCCUUUAAGAGCCUUCACUAAUAAAUGUUAAAAUUUAAUCACUAGUAAUUAUGUCAUCAGCUCCAUCUAUUUGAAAUAGCUGAGACUUAAGAGGCUGAAGAUUUUGAAGUAAUUCUGCCCUUCUGCACCAGAAAGUAUGUGCAAUAAAUACCUUUGGUUGUCUUAAAGAUCUUUAUGUACUCUUAAUAUUUCUUCUUCAUGUCUGCAUUGAGGUCCUAUAUUUACUUCUACAGAGGAA